GGGCGUAAGCGAGCGCAGGCGGUUUUUUAAGUCUGAUGUGAAAGCCCUCGGCUUAACCGAGGAAGCGCAUCGGAAACUGGGAAACUUGAGUGCAGAAGAGGACAGUGGAACUCCAUGUGUAGCGGUGAAAUGCGUAGAUAUAUGGAAGAACACCAGUGGCGAAGGCGGCUGUCUGGUCUGUAACUGACGCUGAGGCUCGAAAGCAUGGGUAGCGAACAGGAUUAGAUACCCUGGUAGUCCAUGCCGUAAACGAUGAAUGCUAGGUGUUGGAGGGUUUCCGCCCUUCAGUGCCGCAGCUAACGCAUUAAGCAUUCCGCCUGGGGAGUACGACCGCAAGGUUGAAACUCAAAGGAAUUGACGGGGGCCCGCACAAGCGGUGGAGCAUGUGGUUUAAUUCGAAGCAACGCGAAGAACCUUACCAGGUCUUGACAUCUUUUGAUCACCUGAGAGAUCAGGUUUCCCCUUCGGGGGCAAAAUGACAGGUGGUGCAUGGUUGUCGUCAGCUCGUGUCGUGAGAUGUUGGGUUAAGUCCCGCAACGAGCGCAACCCUUAUGACUAGUUGCCAGCAUUUAGUUGGGCACUCUAGUAAGACUGCCGGUGACAAACCGGAGGAAGGUGGGGAUGACGUCAAAUCAUCAUGCCCCUUAUGACCUGGGCUACACACGUGCUACAAUGGAUGGUACAACGAGUUGCGAGACCGCGAGGUCAAGC
rnacentral:rRNA from 2 species